rnacentral:rRNA from 1 species
UACGAAGGGUGCUAGCGUUGUUCGGAAUUACUGGGCGUAAAGGGCGCGUAGGCGGUUUAACAAGUUGGGUGUGAAAGCCCAGGGCUCAACCCUGGAACUGCACUCAAGACUGUUUUACUUGAAUUCGGUAGAGGAUGGUGGAAUUCCCAGUGUAGAGGUGAAAUUCGUAGAUAUUGGGAAGAAUACCCGUGGCGAAGGCGGCCAUCUGGACCGACAUUGACGCUGAGGCGCGAAAGCGUGGGGAGCAAACAGG